GAUUUUAAUGAUCGAACAGAUCAAAAUUUUAAACUUUUGCAUUUAAAUUUUAUCUUAAUCCAACAUCGAGGUCGCAAACUUUUUUUUUUAUUUGAACUAAAAAAAAAUAUUACGCUGUUAUCCCUAAGGUAAUUUUUUCUUAUAAUCAUUAUUAAUGGAUCAUUUAAUCAUUUAUUUAUGUUUAAUUUUUAAAAAAAGUUAAUUUAAUUUUUCUAUCACCCCAAUAUAAUAAUUAAUUUUAUUUUAAUAAAAAUUUUUAUAUAAUUUUAAAAUAAAAAUAAAUAUAAAACUCUAUAGGGUCUUCUCGUCUUUUAAAAUUAAUUUAGCUUUUUAACUAAAAAAUAAACUUCUAAAAAUAAAUAAGAGACAGUUUAUAUUUCAUCAAAUCUUUCAUACAAGUUUUCAAUUAAAAAACUAUUGAUUAUGCUACCUUUGUACAGUCAUUAUACUGCAGCCCUUUAAUUAUUAUCAGUGGGCAGAUUAGACCUUAAAUUAUAUUCAAA
rnacentral:rRNA from 1 species